rnacentral:tRNA from 1 species
GGCAGGAUAGCUCAGCUGGUUAGAGCGCGGGACUCAUAAGCCCGAGGUCGGCGGUUCGAUCCCGCCUCCUGCUA